GGAAAACAGAGACCAGAGCCAGCUAAGAUUGAGGCCAUCACCCAGUGGCCCCAACCCCGGACUAAAACACAGGUCAUGGCGUUCUUGGGCACCGCAGGUUAUUACAGGAAAUUUGUAGCGGAAUACAGUGCCCUCGCCAAACCCCUGACAGACCUCACCAAAAAGUCCCUACCCCGACAAGUAGUCUGGUCCACUGAGUGUGAGGAGGCUUUCCAGAAACUCAAGGCUGCGUUAAGUGCAUCUCCUGUGUUGGCGGCACCUGAUCAUACUAAAAGGUUUCUCGUUCACACAGAUGCCUCAAUGUUUGGACUGGGAGCAGUAUUGAGCCAGGUGGGAGACGAUGGCAUGGAUCACCCGGUGGCGUAUCUGAGCAGAAAACUGUUACCACGCGAAGUCAGCUAUGCCACCGU